GAACUGAAGUCAUCUGAUAACUGAAAGUUUGUACUGUUUUAUCAAUGCUUCCCCAUUUCCUCUACCUCUAAACCCUGGCAACCACCAUUCCUUUAUUUCUCUGAAUUCAGUGUUUUUACAGUUGGAAUAUAAGUGAGAUCAAAUAGUAUGUGUCCUUCUUAGACUUAUUUAUCCAGUCCCACAGGGGCCUGGAACAACUACAGCAGCGGUGAAGAGAGAGAGGAGGACAGGAUCUAAUAGACAGAAAUAACAGGAUUUGGUGACCAGCUGGAACUGAGUAAUGAAAGAGAAGCUGGAGGGGCCACCCGCAGUGGGCACACUUAACUUCCAACUUCGGCUCAGGUCAUGAUCUCACCAUUGGAAAAUCUCUAAGUGUGUCUUAAUGGAGAAAAGAAGAAAGCAUGUUAAGUGGAAGGUAUUUCCAACAACAAUAAAGGAGAGAUCUUAAAUCAGAAGUUUUCAAAGUGCCUGCUUCCUACAGGGGCAUGCUGGGCCUAGGACACGAUUGGAUCCUACCUUCACCCAUUUCAGCAGGAUACUGCAGCUUGAUUCUGAUUAGAAGUUGAGCUGAAUCCUGACUGCCUAGAAGACUGUCGCAUCUGUUUUGAAGUAACUGUUUCAUGCAAAGCCUGGAUGAGAUGCCUAGGGAAAAAAAAAAAACAAAACAAAACAGACCUUUCCAAUAAA